GACGAACGCUGGCGGCGUGCUUAACACAUGCAAGUCGAACGAUGAUGCCAGCUUGCUGGUGGAUUAGUGGCGAACGGGUGAGUAACACGUGAGUAACCUGCCCCUUACUUCGGGAUAACCAUUGGAAACGGUGGCUAAUACUGGAUAUGAGACAUGGCCGCAUGGUCUGUGUUUGGAAAGAUUUAUCGGUAGGGGAUGGACUCGCGGCCUAUUAGCUUGUUGGUGGGGUAAUGGCCUACCAAGGCUUUGACGGGUAGCCGGCCUGAGAGGGCGACCGGCCACACUGGGACUGAGAUACGGCCCAG
rnacentral:rRNA from 1 species